CGGCCCUGCCUCCCCUGAGGCUGGCCAGCUGUAGACCCCAGGCCCACCUCCACACGUGCUCCUUCCUUCUCCCAGCUUGCUCAGACAAGCCCAUGAAUAGAACAUUAAAGGCAAAACCUUCUAAAAGGAAAAGCAGCUCCCUGGUAGGAGUCACCCCACUAAAUGUCAAAUGCAGAGCAAGGCUUCUUGCCUUGUGCGCUUCUCACUCAUGGAGUCACCUUAGCCUCCAUAUCCCCAUCAUCCUAUCGCCGUAUAAAUAAAUCAUGGUCAGAAGAAUGCCAAUUUCCCCCCAGGGCCUCAUGAAUCUCUCAACAUAAGCAUAUGUAAAGGCCCCCUUCACUGCGUGCUGGUCCUGGUGCCCAGAAAGAGAUAGCAAAUCCUGUGGGGAUGAUUUUGGAGGCAGAAGCAAACUUUCUACCACCUCAGUGGGCUGAAAGUUGGGAGCCCAGCUUUUGUCCUGAUUUGGGAAAGACCCUUGCUCACGUAGUUGUCACCAUGAUGCCACUACCCUCUGGAAUCAACUCAGUGAGCUGCCAAGUGGCCCAUCGCUGGGGGCUGCAGUGGUCUGUCCCCUGGCAGACAUGUCACGAGUCGUGCCCACCCACCCCCUGUGAGGGCGAGCCACACACCCACUCAGCAAGUGUUGUUCCUGACAUGUGGCACACACAGCGCUGGCCUGCCCACUCCUGGGAGCCCCUGCCCCCACUGACUGGCUCACCAUCGUGCCACGGCACCGAGCCCUGCCAGUGGACCAAUGGUGUGGGUGCCAGCAGAGGCUCUGGUGCACUAGGGUGUCCUGCUCUGCAACAGUGACCUCUGCCACACACACUACAGGGAGCCUGUUGCAUGCUUUGCCAGGUGUGUUUCUGUACAUACACACACACACACACACACACACGCACACACACUAUGGUACCAACUCUUUUGCUGUGCCAGCACAGAGGUCUCCAGAGCGACUCUCCUGAAUCAGAUAGCAGGGGCUGUUUGCAGUUUCGUUUCCACGCUUCGCUGACUGGUUAGACAGUGAUCACAGGUUCGGAAGCACGAGCCUCACCACAGCGGAGGAGGCCUCCACUCUGAAGCGGGAUUCCACGCUCCUGCACCCUAAGAUCAGCUAGACUCUCUGCCUUGUUUCAUCUUCUUUCUUUUCCUAAAGAAUCACGGGGAGAACUGACCUCUCUGGGACUCAACCGUGGCUGGAAGGGGACAGGAGAAGCCCUUUCUGGAGGACAGCUGAGCCCUGCAGCUGCCAUCCUGCCUGGCAGGCUAGGGCUGGGCUGCGGGAAGGCCCCCCAGGAGGCUUGGCUGGGCAUGCUCUGUGAAGCCCGAGGUGGCUGGGACUCAUUCUAGUGAUGGACACCAAGUCAGCGGGCUCCUCUCUCCAGUUCCUCGACAUCCCUGGAGGCCCCUCUGCUCCUGCAGCCCUAGCCUUGGAGCUGAUGGUUCCCUCAGUCUUCUCCAGGCCUUGGGGGGGGCCCUCACGCUAGGGUCCCUUCCCAACUCCUCUCUCUGUCUCAUUUCUGCCCAGGGAGGUCCGGCCACUGCACCCCGAGGAAAGGGCUGCUUUCGGCACUCUGCGUGGAGGUCCUGGCUUCUGCCGUCCCUGGAGGCUCCGUUCCCGUUUCGCCAGCUAUUUUGCUGCCUCGGCCAUCUGUUCCCUCCCUGUCAUCUCCUCUCUGCUUUAACCUUAACCACUACUUCACUGCAGAUGGUACCAGGCAGUUCUGCUCUCGACAUCCUUCACGACGCCUGGCCCUCCUUCUCAUCUCCAGCAAGUGAACCGCUCUGUCCUUUUUAAAGCCUCAUCCCAAAGACACGGCCAGAGCUUGGAGUUGGAUUCGCCCCACACAACUCCCCCUCUUUGAUGCCAUCUGCUUUCAACUCCACCACUGGCCAGGGGCAAACACCUACCCCUUCCCCUGCCUUUUCCUCCUGAGACUUCUUCUCAAACUCGGCCAAGAAGCUCUCCUGGCAUGGACAGCGUGUCUGCUCCGGGUCUCUACCUGGUCUCCAUCAACAGAGCCAUGUAACCGCCCAGAGGGCUCCAGGUCCGCAAGCUGAGGCGGAGGCCAGAAACUCUGAAGUUCACUCCUACUGUGGAGGAACGAGGGCUCGUGCUGGGAGUUUGGGUCAUGAACAGUUUCCCUGUAGAAAAUGGACCUGAACACUCUGCAGUAAGGAAUUGUUUCCCAUGCUGGCAUGGUGGGAACCGAACCAAAACACAUUUUCUAUGUUGUCUGAGCUCACAGGGAACAUCCCUCUGCUGUCCUUGCUGUUAUUCUGGCAUGCUGGUGAGAAAAUGCAUGCAUGGGCUUUACUUAGCAACUCGCUCUGCCUCUCCUCUCUGUCAGGGCGCUCCCCUAAAAUCUCUCCUCUUGACGUCUUUUUUCUGGC
rnacentral:lncRNA from 10 species